UACAGAGGGGGCGAGCGUUGUUCGGAAUUACUGGGCGUAAAGGGCGCGUAGGCGGCCAACUAAGUCAGACGUGAAAUCCCUCGGCUCAACCGGGGAACUGCGUCUGAUACUGGAUGGCUUGAGUUUGGGAGAGGGAUGCGGAAUUCCAGGUGUAGCGGUGAAAUGCGUAGAUAUCUGGAGGAACACCGGUGGCGAAGGCGGCAUCCUGGACCAACACUGACGCUGAGGAGCGAAAGCCAGGGGAGCAAACGGG
rnacentral:rRNA from 1 species